rnacentral:rRNA from 1 species
AGCUCGUUACCUCCCACCCUUUGUGAACAUACCUCUGUUGCUUUGGCGGCUCUCGCCGCGAGGGGAGGCCCUGAAAAGGGCCCGCCCCCCUCGCGCGCCCUCCGCCAGAGGACCUUCAAACUCCAGUCAGUAAACGUCGACGUCUGAUACACAAGUUAAUAAACUAAAACUUUCAACAACGGAUCUCUUGGUUCUGGCAUCGAUGAAGAACGCAGCGAAAUGCGAUAAGUAAUGUGAAUUGCAGAAUUCAGUGAAUCAUCGAAUCUUUGAACGCACAUUGCGCCCCUUGGCAUUCCGAGGGGCAUGCCUGUUCGAGCGUCAUUACAACCCUCAAGCUCUGCUUGGUAUUGGGCGCCGUCCUCUCUGCGGACGCGCCUCAAAGACCUCGGCGGUGGCUGUCCAGCCCUCAAGCGUAGUAGAAUACACCUCGCUUUGGAGCGGCUGGCGUCGCCCGCCGGACGAACCUUCUGAACUUUUCUCAAGGUUGACCUCGGAUCAGGUAGGGAUACCCGCUGAACUUAAGCAUAUCAAUAAGCGGAGGAA